rnacentral:rRNA from 1 species
UACAGAGGUCUCGAGCGUUAGGCGGAAUCACUGGGCUUAAAGCGUGUGUAGGCGGACUGGUAAGUACCUUGUGAAAUCCCACGGCUCAACCGUGGAACUGCUUGGUAUACUGCUUGUCUUGUGCAACCUAGGGGCGAGCGGAACAGAUGGUGGAGCGGUGAAAUGCGUAGAUAUCAUCUGGAACGCCAAUGGUGAAAACAGCUCGCUGGGGGUUUGCAGACGCUGAGACACGAAAGCCAGGGGAGCGAACGGG